AGCAAACUAAAAGUAGAGGUUCAGUUUUUUCUUUUGAGUAGUGCACAGCACGUAGUGAAUUUUUUUUUAUUUCUUUUCGCGCGGUGACCAAUUUUCUGGCGGGUUCUAAACUUUUUAGGUUUCUUUUUCUUUCAUUAUUUUUUAUUGGAUAAAAUUUAUGUAUAGUAUUUUAGGUGCUGUUACUUAAGUUUCUCUUUUAAGAUUCUUCCAUGUGGCUACUUAAUUUUAAAAAUACACUUCUAUCAUGAGAAAAAAGCCACGUGAUAAAAUCUUACAAGAGUGAUCUAAAGAAUAGCAUCUAAGGAACAGCAUCUAAGUAUUGUAGUUAAGUCUUACUUUUAUUUUAUUUUAUUUUAUUUGUGUAAACAAAACAUUGUUACUCCCUCUUUCUCCUCCCAUACACAGACCCACGCCUCUCAACCUCUCCCAAAAAGACUGGAUUAACAGGAUAUUGAUUUUGGGAUUAGAGAGGGUGUUGAUUUUAGGACAUAGCUUUUGGGAUUGGAGAAGCUUCUGUGCUUGUGCUUGUGCUGUCUGCUCCAGAUAUGGGAUUGGUGGCAAAAAGAUAGCUUUUGUGAGGCUACUUGAACUCAAAUAAUUUUCUAUAAAGUUUGGAAGCUAAGACAUCAUUUGUAUAUAAAUGGUUGUAAUUACUUUGUGAACAUCUUUAUUGCAUUUUUAGAUUGUAUGGAUGUUUUUUUUUUUAUGGAUUUGGUUAGAAAUGAAUGGACGUUUUUUUUUAUGGAUUUGGUUAGAAAUGAAUGGACGUUUGUUUUUAUGGAUUUGGUUAGAAAUGAA